rnacentral:rRNA from 1 species
AUUGAACGCUGGCGGCAGGCCUAACACAUGCAAGUCGAGCGGAUGGAGGGAGCUUGCUCCUGGAUUCAGCGGCGGACGGGUGAGUAAUGCCUAGGAAUCUGCCUGGUAGUGGGGGAUAACGUCCGGAAACGGGCGCUAAUACCGCAUACGUCCUGAGGGAGAAAGUGGGGGAUCUUCGGACCUCACGCUAUCAGAUGAGCCUAGGUCGGAUUAGCUAGUUGGUGGGGUAAAGGCCUACCAAGGCGACGAUCCGUAACUGGUCUGAGAGGAUGAUCAGUCACACUGGAACUGAGACACGGUCCAGACUCCUACGGGAGGCAGCAGUGGGGAAAAUUGGACAAUGGGCGAAAGCCUGAUCCAGCCAUGCCGCGUGUGUGAAGAAGGUCUUCGGAUUGUAAAGCACUUUAAGUUGGGAGGAAGGGCAGUAAGUUAAUACCUUGCUGUUUUGACGUUACCAACAGAAUAAGCACCGGCUAACUUCGUG